rnacentral:tRNA from 1 species
GUCCCCAUAGCUCAACGGAUAGAGUGGCGGCCUUCUAAGCCGUAGAUCGAGGUUCGAUUCCUCGUGGGGACG